UGCAACACUCUGCUGGCCCUCCUAGAGGCUCUACCAGUCGGUCUCCCAUGCUCAUUGGUGGAUGAGCUCCAGGAGAUCAGCGAUCCACUCAGCUCCCCCGUGAACAGCACGAUUUCAGUGCUCACUAAACAUGCAUUGAAUAAGCAGAGAAACUCGCCACAUACCCUUACAAGAUACAAGAGAGACAGAAACGUCCACCCCUUUGAGCGCCUAAGGAGUCUCCCUGCCUUGAGUACUGGCUGGGCCCUGCCCACAUGUUUAUGCAGCAAUAUGCUCAUGGGGAGUUGCAAGGUAUCACUCCAGACCAGGGACCCAGCUGUCCUGGGUGGGUCACUCUCCCCUUGAAGCCUGUUUACUCCACCACCAAUGAGUAGUGGACAAAAUGCUCUCCAGUCCCCUGAGCUAAGGAUUCUGUGAAAACCUGACAUCACUGUGAUCAUGACUCCGACUACAGCUUCAGAGGAAACCAACCUGCCCCAGAAGCCACCAGCUUCCCCUCCCCACUUAGUGGCUGUGAGACUGUGGCUGAGUCAUGUAUCGCGCUGAGCUGCCUCAUCCGGAUGGAUACAAGAAGACAGCCAACUGUAAACCAGGAAAAACUGGGCCCUCACAGGACAUCAGAUCUGCCAGCAUUUUCAUCUUGGACUUCCCCAUCUCCAGAACAAUGAGAGAAAAAUAUCUGUUGU
rnacentral:antisense_RNA from 1 species